GGGAAUAUGGCUUAGUGGUAGAGUGCUUGCUUAGCAUGCAUGAAGCCCUGGGUUCAAAUACUCAGUACCA
rnacentral:tRNA from 1 species